CCCAUCCACCCACUGGGCCUCCUACCCAGUUGUCUGUCAAGGUCGCCAUAAGACAGUCUAAUCCAUAUGGCGAAAGAAUAAAAGGAAAACGGUCAUGUGCAGAUCAUCCGGGAAGGAUGAAGACGAAGUGAAAGCAUUGCUGAAGUUGAUCUUACCCUCUGGACUUAUUUGGGAAGAAGAAGUUUCUAAGCUCCAAGUCACUUGAAGAUUGAAUAUUCCUUAAAUUGUUUUCUGUUCAAGGACCAUCAGAGUGAACCUAGCAAUUUAGCGCACAAUCAAGAAACACCACCUGGAAAACUCAUUAUGUAAAGCAAAAGUAUUUUUUAUGUUUAAAAGAAAAUAUUAAAAAUAUGCUUUUCAUUCACUUUGCAAAACCUUU